rnacentral:rRNA from 1 species
GAUGAACGCUGGCGGCGUGCCUAAUACAUGCAAGUCGAGCGCACGGACCAGAGUCUUGCUUCUCUGAUGUUAGCGGCGGACGGGACAUUAACACGUGUAUAACCUACCUAUAAGACUGGGAUAACUUCGGGAAACCGGAGCUAAUACCGGAUGAUAUUUUGAACCACAUGGUUCAAAAGUGAAAUACGGUCUUGCUGUCGCUUAUAGCUGGAUCCGCGCUGCAUUAGCUAGUUGUUAAGGUAACUGCUUACCAAGGCAACGAUGCAUAGCCGACCUGAGAGGGUGAUCGGCUACCCUGUAACUGAGAAACGGUAGAGACUCCUACGGUGAGCAGCAGUAGGGAAUCUUCCGCAAUGGGGGAGAGCCUGACGGUGCAAAGCCGCGUCAGCGAUGAUGGUCUUAGGAUCGUAAAACUAUGUUAUUAGGGAAGAACAUAUGUGUAAGCAACUGUGCACAUCUUGACGGUACCUGCACAGAAAGCCACGGCUAACUCCGUG